GUCAGUAGAAACGAAGUUUCUUCAGUUUUAAAUUUUUUAUAUUUCACAUUGGAUAAGAUAAAAAUUUGAUUGUAAAAGCUUAAAAGCCCGAGGACCUCCAAAUGGAAGCUGAACUGUUUUUCAAUUAAAAGAAAAGCUUUCGAUCGGGAUAGGGAAGGGGCCGCGGAAAAUAUUCAACCCAGCUCAGCUUGAUUUAAUUAGGGAAAUGAAUUCAAUGUUAAUACAGCAACUUAACUGAUUUAUGCGCUGGCCGUUGUCCCUGCCACUCGCCAUUUGCCAUUUGCAAUUUGCUCAAAUUAAUUUGGGUUUGCCCUUUUGCCACUCAGAUGUCCUGUCAUUUCAUUCACUGGCCACGUACGAGAUGUCCGUUCCUUGUUAAGGAGCAUAAAAUACGCAGGAAGCCGUCAAAUGCUGCAGAUACUUUGCCACAGAUGCAGAUAAAAAUACACAGAAUGCCGCACGGGGCUUAAGCCAAGUUCAUUAUGGGGUCUUGUCAAUGAAAUUGUAUUAUUCUAAU